rnacentral:rRNA from 1 species
UACGGAAGGUCCGGGCGUUAUCCGGAUUUAUUGGGUUUAAAGGGAGCGCAGGCCGCCCCUUAAGCGUGUUGUGAAAUGCCGCGGCUCAACCGUGGCACUGCAGCGCGAACUGGGGGGCUUGAGUGCGCCGGAGGUAGGCGGAAUUCGUGGUGUAGCGGUGAAAUGCUUAGAUAUCGAGAGGAACACUCGUGGCGAAGGCAGCCUACCGUAGCGUUACUGACGCUGAGGCUCGAAGGUGCGGGUAUCGAACAGG